GUUGUUAUAGCUUAAUUGUAAAGUGUUAGAUUCUUACUCUGAUGAUGUUCUUUGAACUAAUAAUA
rnacentral:tRNA from 1 species